AUUGAGUCAUGGUGAAAACAGGGAAGUAGAUGCCCAGAGAGAGAAUGGAGAACAAACAGAGAAGGAAGCCAAGAACAACCUCCAAGGAAAACACAACAUUCAAGGUACACGUAAAAGAAUAGAAGCCAGUAAAGUAGAGAAAGAAGGACAAAUCAGAGAGGAGAAGAGCCAUGAGAUACCUCUCAGAAGCCAUGGUAUUAAACAUCUCCAGUGCCCCAGUUAAGUCAAAUAAGGUGGGAAGUGGAAACUGACGAAGUUUAUUGGACUUGGCGCUUUCGAAGUCACUGGAAAUUACCACCACAGCAAUUUCAGUAGAUUAGCAAGGUGUUGACUAGAGUACCAUUAAGAGUGAUUGAAAGGUAAAGAGAUGAAGACAACAAACAAAGGCUAUUCUUCUAAGAAAUUUAUCAUGAAGAUAAGAAGAAAAGAAAUUUGAAUAUACUUAAGGCUGAAGGAGAUAGUAGAGAAGGAACGGAUGAAAACAGGAUAAUGGACCCUCCAUGCAGCAGAAUCCCAGGAGAGGCAGAGGAAACAAGAUGAAGUGCUUAUAUUAGGGAAUCACAUUUGACCAAAUGAAAGGGGAUAGAAGGAAGGUGAAAACCAGUAGAGUAAGGGAAAGGGUAGUUGAAACUGUUCACAAUUAAUUACCACAAGUUUUAUAGUGAGAGAGUAUAGGUAGCAGGAAGCAAGUGAAGAAGACUGUAAAGGUUUGGAGUUGCCAUGGUGGCCAGAUGAGGGAGCUGAUCAGAGCAAUGAAAUGCAGAUCGACAUCUUCAUUUUGGACAUCUAGUCUCUAGAACUCUGGAACAAUAAAUUCCUGUUGAUUAUAUCACUCAGACUGUGGUACUUUGUUACAGCCCUAGCAAAACACUCCAGAGCAUCAAAAACCCUUAAAGUAAACUCCUACCUCUAAAUGUUCUAUUACAUGAGAAAAAUAAGCAACUAUUUAUUUAAACUAAACUACUGGUUGAAUCUUCUUUUUCUUAUAGUGGAUGGAAUCUCAGCUAGAUAUAAAUAGGCAAAAGAGAUCUAAAUAGGAGGAAAAUUUGAGUAAUUAAGGAGGUAAAAGCUAGGAAGAAAUGACUGGAUCAAGAAUUUCCAUGAGGUCAAAGGCAAAUAUAAA
rnacentral:lncRNA from 1 species